UCUGGGAGGGUGAAAAAAUACUGAUCUUGAGUGAAAAUGGGCUCAAAUUCAUCUAUCCCUUCAAUAUCCACCCAGACCACUAAGGAGGCAGUUGCAUCACCUUUGUCUUUGGCUUGGACUGUGAGGCAGUAUUUAUUGCCAUUUUCAUAGUCAAGGAUUUGCUUAGCAUGAAUAUCCCCUGUCAAAGGGUCAAUGAGGAAGAGAUCAUGAUCAUAAGACAUUCCAUGAGUGAGAAAACAGGGUGAUACAAUAGAAUAGGUCAAUUCUCCAUACGGACCAGCAUCAAAAUCCAGAGCAUUUAUAGAGCAUAUGGUAGAGGAAAUAGGCAGAUUUUCUGGAACAAUACAGCUGAAGCUUGAGAACAUAAACUGAGGUGCAUGGUCGUUAUCAUCCAGGACACUGACAAACACAACUGCAAAAGAAAAAUGUUUCUUUUCUGCAUCUGAAGCUUGGACAGUUAAGGUGAAUUUUGUCAUUUUUUCAUAAUCCAGAGGUUUAAUCAAAUAAAGAACUCCAGUGUUUUCUUCUAAGUAAAAAUGUCCCUUCUCAUUUCCAGAGAUGAUGUUGUAGAUGAUUUCUGCAUGUGACCCUGUGUCACGGUCAUUUGCUGAGACCACAGUGAUGUGACUCCCUAGAGGGGUGCUUUCCUUGACAUGGGUGUGAUAGCUCAGGCUGCUGAAGUUUGGGGGAUUGUCAUUGACAUCAAGUACUUGUAUUGAUAUGACAGCUGUGGAACUCAAUGGAGGGCAGCCACUGUCAGAUGCCAGAAUGACAAGCUCAUGGCUAGCACUUGCUUCUCUGUCCAGACUGUGAAGCAACACAAGAUAACCGACUUGCUUAUAAGGAUAUUCUGAAUGAAAGAACUUAGUUUCCACAUGAAAAUUGUUCUGUGAAUUACCACUGAUGAUGGAAUAUUCAACAUAUGUGUUUUCACGGGUCCAGUCAUGGUCGAUGUUUGAAAAUGUAACAAGCGUGCUUCCAACCAGAGCAUCCUCACUUAGGCUAAGAUUAUAGGAUUUGACUGUGAAUUCAGGGGCAUAAUUGUUCAUAUCUUCUAUUCCUAUCUCCACUAAAGUAAGAGCUCUCAGGUCAGGAUUUCCACCAUCACUGGCUUCCACAAGAAAUUGAGUUGUUGAUAUUGUAUCCAGAAGUAAUACGGGACUGAUAGUAAAUAUUGUGCCUGAAAAAUAAGACAUAGUAUUUCAACACUGUGAGGUGCAGUUUUGAUGAUCCAUUUAAUCGGCAGUUGACUAUCCAAUGUCUACUAAUAUGUGUUUAAUUCUUUGUUAGAUCUGUUAAGUCACAAUGAACAAUGACUCCAAAUAGAAAUACAAAUUAUUGUAUUUAUAUGUUUAUAACAUGUAAGAUACAGAAAUAAUAUUCAUGACAUUCACUCUGUGAAAUAUGUGUGCUGCUUGAGGUUGCUGUUGCCACAAAUUCCUCUGAAUUUUGUUUUUGUAUAGUAAGUUGUUCCACUAUUCUUAAAAAAUAUUUUUGUUUGUAAAAUUUAUACCCCAUUCUACUACCCACAAACACAUGUAUAAAGAUAUUCUGGCAUAAAGAUACUUAUUCUGGAAAUACUUGUUGAUAUUCAAGCCAAAUGAAAGCAGUAAAAAUGA
ensembl:lncRNA novel transcript, antisense to DCHS2